CACAGGUUUGGUCCCAGCCUUUCUAUUAGUUACUAGCAAAACUACACAUGCAAGUAUCCGCAUUCCAGUGAGAAUGCCCUAUAAGUUAUCCCAACAGAAAGGAGCCGGUAUCAAGCGCACUAAUAAGUAGCUCAUAACACCUUGCUCAACCACACCCCCACGGGAAACAGCAGUGAUAAACAUUAAGCAAUAAACGAAAGUUUGACUAAGUUAUGCUAGUUAGAGUUGGUAAAUUUCGUGCCAGCCACCGCGGUCAUACGAUUAACUCUAAUUAAUAGACUUACGGCGUAAAACGUGUUUAAGAGUUACACAAAUAAAGUCAAACUUUAGCUACGCUGUAAAAAGCCCCAGCUAUCGUAAGCCCUAUCACGAAAGUAACUUUAAACUAUCUGAACACACGACAGCUGAGACCCAAACUGGGAUUAGAUACCCCACUAUGCUCAGCCCUAAACCUAAAGGGCUACUUUAACAAAACCCUUCGCCAGAGUACUACUAGCUAAAGCUUAAAACUCAAAGGACUUGGCGGUGCUUCACACCCUUCUAGAGGAGCCUGUUCUAUAAUCGAUAAACCCCGAUUAACCUCACCAACCCUUGCCAAAUCAGCCUAUAUACCGCCAUCUUCAGCAAACCCUAAAAAGGUAGCAUAGUAAGCCCAAUCACAGUACGCAAAAACGUUAGGUCAAGGUGUAGCUUAUGGGUUGGAAAGAAAUGGGCUACAUUUCCUAUUACCCUAGGCUACUCCUUUAUCAACGAAAGUCCCUAUGAAAUUAAGGACCAAAGGUGGAUUUAGUAGUAAGUUAAGAAUAGAGUGCUUAACUGAAUUAGGCCAUGAAGCACGCACACACCGCCCGUCACCCUCCUCAAAUACUCAUAGUACAAAACCUUAACCAUAUUAACUAAUACUACAAAUACUAGAGGAGACAAGUCGUAACAAGGUAAGCAUACUGGAAAGUGUGCUUGGAUAACA
rnacentral:ncRNA from 1 species